CCUACGGGAGGCAGCAGUGAGGAAUAUUGGUCAAUGGGCGGGAGCCUGAACCAGCCAAGCCGCGUGAGGGAAGAAGGUACAGCGUAUCGUAAACCUCUUUUGUCAGGGAACAAAGGCGGGGACUAGUCCCCGGAUGAGGGUACCUGAAGAAAAAGCAUCGGCUAACUCCGUGCCAGCAGCCGCGGUAAUACGGAGGAUGCGAGCGUUAUCCGGAUUGAUUGGGUUUAAAGGGUGCGCAGGCGGCCUGUUAAGUCAGCGGUAAAAGCCCGGGGCUCAACCCCGGCGAGCCGUUGAAACUGGCGGGCUGGAGUGGGAGAGAGGUACGCGGAAUGCGGGGUGGAGCGGGGAAAGGCUUAGAUAGCGCGCAGAACCACGAUUGCGAGGGCAGCGUACCGGCUCCACACUGACGCUGAGGAACGAAAGCGUGGGUAUCGAACAGGAGUAGAUACCCGGGUAGUC
rnacentral:rRNA from 1 species